rnacentral:rRNA from 1 species
GACGAACGCUGGCGGCGUGCUUAACACAUGCAAGUCGAACGGAAAGGCCCUGCUUUUGUGGGGUGCUCGAGUGGCGAACGGGUGAGUAACACGUGAGUAACCUGCCCUUGACUUUGGGAUAACUUCAGGAAACUGGGGCUAAUACCGGAUAGGAGCUCCUGCUGCAUGGUGGGGGUUGGAAAGUUUCGGCGGUUGGGGAUGGACUCGCGGCUUAUCAGCUUGUUGGUGGGGUAGUGGCUUACCAAGGCUUUGACGGGUAGCCGGCCUGAGAGGGUGACCGGCCACAUUGGGACUGAGAUACGGCCCGGGCUCCUAGGGGGGGCAGCGGUGGGGAAUAUGGCAAAAGGGGCGGAAGCCGGGUGCAGAAACGCCGGGUGGGGGAGGAGGGCCUUGGGGUGGUAAACCGCUUUCGCCUGUGACGAAGGGGGAGUGAGGGUAAUGGGGAAAGAAGCACCGGCUAACUACGU